rnacentral:tRNA from 1 species
GCGCCGCAUCGAAGCGGUCAUUCCCACGUAAAACAGCCUCGCACGCUGCUCGUUUGUUUGGGGGUUCGACUCCCUCUUGGUGCA